rnacentral:lncRNA from 1 species
CUCCUUUCAUCAUGACGGUGAUCAUACAGCGCCUGCUCCUCCUCCAACCCGUCGAACUCGUCCAGCUCAAGAGCCUACCCUCCAAUCAAUUUCCGACAAAAUUGCUUCAUUGACCUCUUCUCUUGGUCAAUUAACUCAUGAGAUCCAUGGAUAUUUUGACCAUGUUAUUUAUCCUUAUGCGGGUCUUGUUCCAUAUGAAGCAGUGCCGGAUGAUGAGACGGGAGAUGAUGG